rnacentral:rRNA from 1 species
AAAUGAAUUGACGGGGGCCCGCACAAGCAGUGGAGUAUGUGGUUUAAUUCGAAGCAACGCGAAGAACCUUACCGGGGCUUGACAUGGAGACGACCGGCGCAGAGAUGUGCUUUCCCUUCGGGGCGUUUCACACAGGUGGUGCAUGGUUGUCGUCAGCUCGUGUCGUGAGAUGUUGGGUUAAGUCCCGCAACGAGCGCAACCCUUAUCAUUAGUUGCUACAUUUAGUUGAGCACUCUAAUGAGACUGCCGUUGGCAAAACGGAGGAAGGUGGGGAUGACGUCAAAUCAUCAUGCCCUUUAUGUCCCGGGCUACACACGUACUACAAUGGCAUUUAACAAUGGGUAGCUAAGCCGCGAGGUGGAGCCAAUCCCCAAAAAGUGCCUCAGUUCAGAUUGCAGGCUGCAACUCGCCUGUAUGAAGUCGGAAUUGCUAGUAAUCGUGAAUCAGCAUGUCACGGUGAAUACGUUCCCGGGCCUUGUACACACCGCCCGU